GACGAACGCUGGCGGCGUGCUUAACACAUGCAAGUCGAGCGGAGCGGCGAACGGGUGAGUAACGCGUGAGUAACUGCCCCCCUCUCUGGGAUAACAGCUGGAAACGGCUGCUAAUACCGGAUAGUGGGUGAUGACACGCGGCCUAUCAGCUUAUUGGUGGGGGAGUGGCCAUCCAAGGCGACGACGGGUAGACGGCCUGGGAGGGCGACCGGCCACAUUGUGCUUGGAUACGCCCCAAACUCCUACAGGAGGCAGCAGUGGGGAAUAGUGCGCAAUGGGGGAAACCCUGAUGCAGCAACGCCGCGUGCGGGAUGACGGCCUUCGGGUUGUAAACCGCUUACAGCCAUGACGCGGUAGUGGCAGAAGAAGCACCGGCUAACUACGUGCCAGCAGCCGCGGUAAUUC
rnacentral:rRNA from 1 species